UACGUAGGGUGCAAGCGUUGUCCGGAAUUAUUGGGCGUAAAGAGCUUGUAGGCGGUUUGUCGCGUCUGCUGUGAAAUUUCGGGGCUCAACCCCGAACUUGCAGUGGGUACGGGCAGACUAGAGUGUGGUAGGGGAGACUGGAAUUCCUGGUGUAGCGGUGAAAUGCGCAGAUAUCAGGAGGAACACCCGUGGCGAAAGCGGCUCUCUGGGACGGUACUGACGCUGAGGCACGAAAGCGUGGGAGCAAACAGG
rnacentral:rRNA from 1 species